UACAGAGGGUGCAAGCGUUAAUCGGAAUUACUGGGCGUAAAGCGUGCGUAGACGGUUAUUUAAGUCAGGUGAUGAAGCCCCGGGCUCAACCUGGGAAUUGCAUUUGAGACUGAAUAGCUAGGGUGCGGAAGAGGGAAGCGGAAUUUCCGGUGUAGCGGUGAAAUGCGUAGAUAUCAGGAGGAACACCAAUGGGCGAAGGCAGAUCUCUGGGCCGUAAACUGACG
rnacentral:rRNA from 1 species